UGGCGGACGGGUGAGUAACGCGUGGAAAACCUGCCGUAUACUGGGGGAUAACACUUAGAAAUAGGUGCUAAUACCGCAUAAGCGCACAGCUUCGCAUGAAGCGGUGUGAAAAACUCCGGUGGUAUACGAUGGUUCCGCGUCUGAUUAGCUAGUUGGUGGGGUAAUGGCCUACCAAGGCAACGAUCAGUAGCCGGCCUGAGAGGGUGAACGGCCACAUUGGGACUGAGACACGGCCCAAACUCCUACGGAAGGCAGCAG
rnacentral:rRNA from 1 species